rnacentral:rRNA from 1 species
GACGAACGCUGGCGGCGUGCCUAAUACAUGCAAGUUGAGCGCUGAAGGUUGGUACUUGUACCAACUGGAUGAGCAGCGAACGGGUGAGUAACGCGUGGGGAAUCUGCCUUUGAGCGGGGGACAACAUUUGGAAACGAAUGCUAAUACCGCAUAAAAACUUUAAACACAAGUUUUAAGUUUGAAAGAUGCAAUUGCAUCACUCAAAGAUGAUCCCGCGUUGUAUUAGCUAGUUGGUGAGGUAAAGGCUCACCAAGGCGAUGAUACAUAGCCGACCUGAGAGGGUGAUCGGCCACAUUGGAACUGAGACACGGCCCAAACUCCUACGGGAGGCAGCAGUAGGGAAUCUUCGGCAAAGGACGAAAGUCUGACCGAGCAACGCCGCGUGAGUGAAGAAGGUUUUCGGAUCGUAAAACUCUGUUGGUAGGGAAGAACGUUGGUGAGAGUGGAAAGCUCAUCAAGUGACGGUAACUACCCAGAAAGGGACGGCUAACUACGU